GACGAACCGUGCAAACGUUGUUCGGAAUCACUGGGCUUAAAGGGCGCGUAGGCGGGCGGUCAAGUCAGGGGUGAAAUCUUUCGGCUCAACCGGAAAAGUGCCCUUGAUACUGACGGUCUGGAGGGAGGUAGGGGCGUGCGGAACUUCCGGUGGAGCGGUGAAAUGCGUAGAUAUCGGAAGGAACACCGGUGGCGAAAGCGGCGCGCUGGACCUCUACUGACGCUGAGGCGCGAAGGCGUGGGGAGCGAACGGG
rnacentral:rRNA from 1 species